AGCUAACAUCUGCCAAUCCUCCUCUUUUUGCUGAGGAAGACUGGCCCUGAGCUAGCAUCUGUGCCCACCUUCCUCUACGUUAUACAUGGGAUGCCUACUACAGCAUGGCUUGACAAGCGGUGCCAUGUUUGCACCCGGGAUCCGAACCAGCGAACCCCAGGCCGCCAAAGCGGAAUGUGUACACUUAACUGCUGCGCCACCGGGCCGGCCCCUAUAUGUAUAUUUUUAAAAUGAAAAUGGAAUCAAGUCACAUUUUGUAGCCAGCUUUGUUCUGGAGAAUACACUGUGGACGUUUUCUCAUGCCAGCAAACUUUCUUCUGUGACAUGGUUUUUAAUGGUUACUUUGCAGCUUUUAGAUGCACCAUAAUUUCCUUAACUGAUUUUUUGUUAACAUUAGAUUGUUUUCAAUUAUUCUGCUAUAAUAAAAAUAUUACAAUGAAUUCCUGUAAUAUGGUUUUUUGCACAAAUUUCUGAUAAUUUUCUUUGAAUAAUUACCCCACCUUUCAUUUACUCCUGAUCGGUUUGGGCAGACUUUUAGACGAAUCAAUGAACAGGAAGAUGAGCUUCUUGGAAGUAAUGACAGCAAUGACCUACCCCCCACAUUCCAGAAGUGCCUCCACAACAGCUGGAUCUCUUGGCUAAUACUGACAGCUGAUCCUAAAAUACAGGAGAGCCAAGAGCCGAGAAUAGCCCAAACACUCCUGGAGAAGGACAAGCGGAAGCAAUGACUCUACUACCAGCAAGUUGCUGAAGCAAGCUGUACCUAUGGAGAGACCCACAGGGCAAGGAACUAAGGGCUCCAGCCAACAACUAGAGAGGAACUGAGGCCUUCAGUGCAACAGCCCAGGAGGAACUGACACUUGCCAACAAUCAAGUGCAUGAACUUGGAAGCGGAUUCUUCCCCAGAAGAUGACUGCACCUCCUGCUGACAUGCUGAUAGCAGCCGUGUGAAAGCCCAGAACCAGAGGUCCCAGCUAAGCCACAUCCGGAUUCCUGACCCACAGAAACUGUGAGAUAGUAAAUGUACGUUGUUUUAAGCUGUUUAAUCUGGGGGUAAUUUUUUAUGCUGCAGAUAACUAAUACAUCUAAGUGUAAUUCCUAGCGCAAAGCUUCCCAGCAGGAGAACCAAGACACACUGGUAUGCGGAAUAUGGAUUACCGACGAGCCCAGGAGAUUGGUCCUUCAACCCCUGGGGCUGCCAGGAGCAGCUGGGACAUCACAGUAGCGUGAUCACGCUCAGCUCACUGUUCGAGAGCAAGCAAUGACUCUGCUCUAGGAUGAGGCACACAUACUUUAUAGGAGUAAGCAGAGCGGUGAGUGUUGAUUUUUCUCCUGUCGAUUCCUCAGCCUCCCUUUCCCUGUUCCAUUCUGGCCCAGCCAUUGCCUUCAGCUCCCUGGACACUGGAGGGAUGAGCCUUUCUGACCAGGAUUCCAAAGGUAGGUCGUGGGCUCAGAGCCACACACCAGGAUGACCCAGCCACCGGUGCUGGCAAAGCCUCUCUUCCUCCUCCUCACCUCAUGAAAGUUUUGUGUUGCUCUGAAAUGGAUUUUCUUUGCCUCCAGCCCCCAUUAUGCUGUGCCUCUUACCCUCACUUUUAACCAGCUUAAUUCUUUCUUUUUUUUCCCCAAUCUUUAAACAAAGUCUGCUCCUUUCUAUUUUUCUCACACGCUUCAUCUUGGCAUCUCCCCAAUUCUUUCUCUUCCCUUCCACAGCAUCUCCGUAGGAAGGAGGAGUGUUGAAGAAAACCUCUAGUCAGUCCUGGCAUACCCCUAGCCCAGCAAAGAUCAUGCUAUGGUUGGGAGUGUGGAUUAUGGGUAUAUAUUGCUGUGUGAUGAAGAUUACAAAGUUAUUUUUUACCUGUCAGAAAAUACAUAG
ensembl:lncRNA